rnacentral:rRNA from 1 species
UAGGGAAUCUUCCACAAUGGACGAAAGUCUGAUGGAGCAACGCCGCGUGAGUGAUGAAGGUUUUCGGAUCGUAAAACUCUGUUGUAAGGGAAGAACAAGUACGUUAGGAAAUGAACGUACCUUGACGGUACCUUAUUAGAAAGCCACGGCUAACUACGUGCCAGCAGCCGCGGUAAUACGUAGGUGGCAAGCGUUGUCCGGAUUUAUUGGGCGUAAAGCGCGCGCAGGCGGUUUCUUAAGUCUGAUGUGAAAGCCCACGGCUCAACCGUGGAGGGUCAUUGGAAACUGGGGAACUUGAGUGCAGAAGAGGAAAGUGGAAUUCCAAGUGUAGCGGUGAAAUGCGUAGAGAUUUGGAGGAACACCAGUGGCGAAGGCGACUUUCUGGUCUGUAACUGACACUGAGGCGCGAAAGCGUGGGGAGCAAACA